UUUAAUUGCUGGUUCAAGACCCUCCACAAUGCACUCUGUUUCCUUCUGGCACAGAAACCGACAACAUUUGAGGUGCAUCUGGAAGAGGCUCUGGGAGGGUCCAAGCAACAAACCACGCGGCGUUCUCUGGAGGCUGAGCUGGGAUGAGUGGGCGGAAGCAGCCUCAGGUCUGUCUCUUCUCUUCAGCCUGAAACUCACUGCAAAUACCAGAGGUUUUUUUUAGAGAUUAGAUAUAUUUG
rnacentral:lncRNA from 10 species